UGUCACAACGCCGCCAAUGUGUUGUCCUGAAUGGUACUAAGUCGGAAUUUCUAGAGGUCACUUCGGGCGUCCCCCAGGGAUCUGUAUUGGGGCCUCUGCUAUUCAUAAUUUUUAUAAAUGACAUUAACAAAGAUAUAAGCUCAAGUAUACGGCUCUUUGCUGAUGAUUGCGUAGUCUACAGAAAAAUUCAGAAAGAACAUGAUGUCCUUGAAUUGCAGUCUGAUCUUGCACGUAUUCAUCAAUGGUGCCUUAAGUGGCAAAUGAAGUUAAACACAAAUAAGUGCGUUCAUGUGUGUUUUACAAAGAAGAAAAAAAUAUUUGAUGCAAAUUUUUGUCUAGGAGGAAAUAAAUUAGAUAAAAA